rnacentral:rRNA from 1 species
CCCUCCCUCUUUCUUCCUGCCUAACACAUGCAAGUCGAACGAGACCUUCGGGUCUAGUGGCGCACGGGUGCGUAACGCGUGGGAACCUGCCCUUAGGUUCGGAAUAAAUCCCCGAAAGGGGUGCUAAUACCGGAUAAUGUCUUCGGACCAAAGAUUUAUCGCCUUUGGAUGGGCCCGCGUUGGAUUAGCUAGUUGGUAGGGUAAAAGCCUACCAAGGCGACGAUCCAUAGCUGGUCUGAGAGGAUGAUCAGCCACACUGGGACUGAGACACGGCCCAGACUCCUACGGGAGGCAGCAGUGGGGAAUAUUGGACAAUGGGCGAAAGCCUGAUCCAGCAAUGCCGCGUGAGUGAUGAAGGCCUUAGGGUUGUAAAGCUCUUUUACCCGGGAUGAUAAUGACAGUACCGGGAGAAUAAGCUCCGGCUAACUCCGUG